rnacentral:lncRNA from 1 species
AUUUUUAUUCCACUUUUUCUUCUGCCUUUGUUUUUAUGAAGAACUCUGGUUUGUAGAUACAACGAUAGGCCAAGAGCUGAGGAAGAACUCCAUAUGCUAUGUUUAAUGCUAAAAAAAGGAUUUUUGCUUCUUCAGGGACUCUGUAGACAUAAGCAGUUCUAGCAUGAAGAGAUGCACCAAUGUGAGAAAACUGAGCCUGUUGCAUUUAAAAAAAAAAAAAUUGGAAGAUGCUGUGGACAAUUAUCGAGAUAGACUAACAGAAUACCCCUUCUACACACCCAGCUGGACCUCCACCUGUGUUCGCAGCUCUCCCCAUCCCUGCCUAAGUACUCUCAUCAAGGGAACACUCAUCACAGGAGUGGAGAAUGAUGGUCACUGCCGGCUCAGUCACAGAAGAUUCUAGCAGGCCAAUUCCA